ACUGUGGUAACUUGUUUGUUCAUCAAAAGAAUUGGAAUAUUAAAGGAGGAAAUAUAAAAAUUAAAGUAUAAGGGACUAGCCUGCUUGUUAGGAGAUAGGGGAGGACAAUAAAAAAGCAACUGCUACAAACCGCAAGGCUAUAGACAUAUUGCAAAACCGCAAGAUCACAAGUAUGAUUAAUCACCAUAUAGGGAGCUUUUCGUAGCUUUUUUGCAGACACAGGCUAAGGAUGUCGGGGGAUGGCCGGAGCUGAUUAUGAAAUCAGCGACCACCAGGCAACGGCUACCGGACUAGACAACGUAGGAGUGCUCCAGGUACGCCCAUCACUGUCCGGAGCCGAUUGUGAAAUCAGCGAUCACCUGCCUCGACACAAUGCAGAAACGACGCAGAGAGAUGCUCAAGCUACGCACACCGCUAUCGCAAAAGACACGAAUGAAGAAACCUCCAAGAAACUAUAAAAAGAAACUGAAUAAGGGAGUGGGGUGUGGGGCACUGCAGUGUGGGACACUGCAGGAGGGGCGGUUAGGAGACCCCUACCCACCCAGCGCUGUUUUGCUUGCUACUGCUUGCUGUAAUUAAUAAAAUUCUAAUUGACCUUAAAAAGGCUGAAUCAAAUUAUUCGCCUCAAUUUAUCACAAUCUGGUGCCGUGACUCGGAUAAAGGAAACCCGGGAGGGAGGCCCCACUAGGGUGAGGCGCCCCACCGCCUUUUUGCGGUGGACCUAAGGGGGGGCUUCCUCCUUGGGCCUUUACCGACGAACCUAAAACUCAGUAGCAAGCAAAGGUACCCCCGUUAAUCUUUGUGCACGAAGAACCGCGGAAGAGUGAACACGCAGGAAGCAAACGGCAGUCAGGACAGCCGAAAAGGGGUGGACUCACGCCAGCCGAGUGAAAGGCCCGGUUGCCACAAAUAACCAGUGGAGAGUGACUAGCCAGCCUGGGAACUUGAAAGUGACUCUUAAGAAAAACUAAUGAACUCUGUGGACAUUAUCCAAAUCAACCAUAAGGGGAAGCAAAGGGAUACAAUUACAAACUAGCUAAAGACUAUAUAGUGAUUGGUAAUAAGGAAGGUUGUGGAGAUUGUUAUCCUUUUGUGUGCUUUAUAUGUAAAAUUUGCCAAGAACGGUGGUGGGUCCAUUGCCAGAGGGGAAGACCACCAAUUGGGGUUUGUACUGAGUGCUAUAAAACUCAGCGAAAACUAACUGAAACUGUGCUAAGGAUAGGAGAAUUGGAAAAUCGGUGGGUCAGUUUUGGAUCUGAGUGGUGGGAAAUAUUCUUGUUUUCAUACUAACGAGCCCACUCCAUUUGCUGCUCAGAUAAUAAAAGGGUGUUGUCGAAAGGAACUGAAGGGGAUUCCUUGCAACCCACCUCUGGUCAAAGAUAAGAACUGGGAACAGUACAAGGCUAGGCAGGAGCGGAAAAGGGGACGCUCAGGCGAGUACUGCUGCUGCCGAGAAGAUGGUUUACCUCGCGGCUCGAAGCACCCGAGUCGGCGAGCGAGGCAGAGAGGAAAAGGCCAAGCCCCCUCUAAGUGGAACAAUGCUGAAAUGCUCCAACUAUUGCCAGCCGAGUACUAGGAUCCCUCAAAGGACCAGUCUAAGUGCCUCCGAAACACCAAGGGAGCAGCAAGCCAAAAAGGGGAAAACA